rnacentral:rRNA from 1 species
AGUGAACGCUGGCGGUAGGCUUAACACAUGCAAGUCGAACGGCAGCACAGUAAGAGCUUGCUCUUACGGGUGGCGAGUGGCGGACGGGUGAGGAAUACAUCGGAAUCUACUUUUUCGUGGGGGAUAACGUAGGGAAACUUACGCUAAUACCGCAUACGACCUACGGGUGAAAGCAGGGGAUCUUCGGACCUUACGCGAUUGAAUGAGCCGAUGUCGGAUUAGCUAGUUGGCGGGGUAAAGGCCCACCAAGGCGACGAUCCGUAGCUGGUCUGAGAGGAUGAUCGGCCACACUGGAACUGAGACACGGUCCAGACUCCUACGGGAGGCAGCAGUGGGGAAUAUUGGACAAUGGGCGCAAGCCUGAUCCAGCCAUACCGCGUGGGUGAAGAAGGCCUUCGGGUUGUAAAGCCCUUUUGUUGGGAAAGAAAAGCAGCAGGUUAAUACCCCGCUGUUCUGACGGUACCCAAAGAAUAAGCACCGGCUAACUUCGUG